rnacentral:rRNA from 1 species
UAGGGAAUAUUGGGCAAUGGACGGAAGUCUGACCCAGCCAUGCCGCGUGCAGGAAGAAGGCCUUCUGGGUUGUAAACUGCUUUUAUAUAGGAAGAAAACACCCAUGCGUGGGAAACUGACGGUACUAGAUGAAUAAGCACCGGCUAACUCCGUGCCAGCAGCCGCGGUAAUACGGAGGGUGCAAGCGUUGUCCGGAUUUAUUGGGUUUAAAGGGUGCGUAGGCGGCCCGUUAAGUCAGUGGUGAAAGCCUCCAGCUCAACUGGAGAACUGCCAUUGAUACUGGCGGGCUUGAGUACAGACGAGGUUGGCGGAAUUGAUAGUGUAGCGGUGAAAUGCAUAGAUACAAUCAAGAACACCGAUUGCGUAGGCAGCUAACUAGGCUGUAACUGACGCUGAGGCACGAAAGCGUGGGGAGCGAACAGGAUUAGAUACCCCGGUAGUCC